CCUACGGGUGGCUGCAGUGGGGAAUAUUGGACAAUGGGCGAAAGCCUGAUCCAGCCAUGCCGCGUGUGUGAAGAAGGCCUUCGGGUUGUAAAGCACUUUCAGUGGGGAAGAAAGCCUUGGGGCUAAUACCCUCGAGGAAGGACAUCACCCACAGAAGAAGCACCGGCUAACUCCGUGCCAGCAGCCGCGGUAAUACGGAGGGUGCGAGCGUUAAUCGGAAUUACUGGGCGUAAAGCGCGCGUAGGCGGUCUGAUAAGCCGGUUGUGAAAGCCCCGGGCUCAACCUGGGAACGGCAUCCGGAACUGGCAGGCUAGAGUGCAGGAGAGGAAGGUAGAAUUCCCGGUGUAGCAGUGAAAUGCGUAGAGAUCGGGAGGAAUACCAGUGGCGAAGGCGGCCUUCUGGACUGACACUGACGCUGAGGUGCGAAAGCGUGGGUAGCAAACAGGAUUAGAUACCCCAGUAGUC
rnacentral:rRNA from 1 species